AACGAACGCUGGCGGCAGGCUUAACACAUGCAAGUCGAACGAGAUCUUCGGAUCUAGUGGCAGACGGGUGAGGAACACGUGGGAACAUCCCUUUCAGUUCGGAAUAACGUUGGGAAACUAACGCUAAUACCGGAUACGUCCUUCGGGAGAAAGAUUUAUCGCUGAAAGAUUGGCCCGCGUCUGAUUAGCUAGUUGGUGAGGUAAUGGCUCACCAAGACUACGAUCAGUAGCUGAUCUGAGAGGAUGAUCAGCCACAUUGGGACUGAGACACGGCCCAAACUCCUACGGGAGGCAGCAGUGGGGAAUAUUGGACAAUGGGCGCAAGCCUGAUCCAGCCAUGCCGCGUGAGUGAUGAAGGCCUUCGGGUUGUAAAGCUCUUUUAUCCGGGAAGAUAAUGACCGUACCGGAAGAGUAAGCCCCGGCAAACUUCGUGCCAGCCGCCGCGGUAA
rnacentral:rRNA from 1 species